UCGAGGAUCUUCGGCAAUGAGCGCAAGCUUGACCGAGCGACGCCGCGUGGAGGAUGAAGGCCUUCGGGUUGUAAACUCCUUUAGUGGGGGAGGAAAUUUGACCUAUCCCAAGAAUAAGCACGGGCUAAGUUCGUGCCAGCAGCCGCGGUAAGACGAACCGUGCGAACGUUAUUCGGAAUCACUGGGCUUAAAGGGUGUGUAGGCGGUCUGUCAAGUCAGGGGUGAAAUCCUUCGGCUUAACCGGAGAACAGCCCCUGAUACUGAUGGGCUUGAGGGAGAUAGAGGCAGCCGGAACUACCGGUGGAGCGGUGAAAUGCGUUGAUAUCGGUAGGAACGCCAGAGGCGAAAGCGGGCUGCUGGAUCUCUUCUGACGCUGAGACACGAAAGCUAGGGGAGCAAACGGGAUUAGAUACCCCCGUAGUCC
rnacentral:rRNA from 1 species